rnacentral:rRNA from 1 species
GUGGGGAAUAUUGGACAAUGGGCGAAAGCCUGAUCCAGCAAUGCCGCGUGAGUGAAGAAGGUCUUCGGAUUGUAAAGCUCUUUCGACGGGGACGAUGAUGACGGUACCCGUAGAAGAAGCCCCGGCUAACUUCGUGCCAGCAGCCGCGGUAAUACGAAGGGGGCUAGCGUUGCUCGGAAUGACUGGGCGUAAAGGGCGCGUAGGCGGUUCGUACAGUCAGACGUGAAAUUCCCGGGCUCAACCUGGGGGCUGCGUUUGAUACGUGCGGGCUUGAGUUCGGAAGAGGGUCGUGGAAUUCCCAGUGUAGAGGUGAAAUUCGUAGAUAUUGGGAAGAACACCGGUGGCGAAGGCGGCGACCUGGUCCGAUACUGACGCUGAGGCGCGAAAGCGUGGGGAGCAAACAGG